rnacentral:rRNA from 1 species
AGUUUGAUCAUGGCUCAGAUUGAACGCUGGCGGCAUGCCUAACACAUGCAAGUCGAACGGUAACAGGACUAGCUUGCUAGUUGCUGACGAGUGGCGGACGGGUGAGUAAUGUAUAGGAACUUGCCCAGUAGUGGGGGACAACAUGUGGAAACGCAUGCUAAUACCGCAUACACUCUACGGAGGAAAGCGGGGGCUCUUCGGACCUCGCGCUACUGGAUAGGCCUAUAUUGGAUUAGCUAGUUGGUAAGGUAAAGGCUUACCAAGGCGACGAUCCAUAGCUGGUUUGAGAGAAUGAUCAGCCACACUGGGACUGAGACACGGCCCAGACUCCUACGGGAGGCAGCAGUGGGGAAUAUUGCACAAUGGAGGGAACUCUGAUGCAGCAAUGCCGCGUGUGUGAAGAAGGCCUUAGGGUUGUAAAGCACUUUCAAUAGGGAGGAAAAGCUGUGUAUUAAUAGUGCAUAGCCGUGACGUUACCUAUAGAAGAAGGACCGGCUAACUCCGUGCCAGCAGCCGCGGUAAUACGGAGGGUCCGAGCGUUAAUCGGAAUUACUGGGCGUAAAGCGCGCGUAGGUGGUUAGACAAGUCAGAUGUGAAAGCCCCGGGCUCAACCUGGGAACUGCAUUUGAAACUGUCUGGCUAGAGUAUGGUAGAGGUGAGUGGAAUUUCAGGUGUAGCGGUGAAAUGCGUAGAGAUCUGAAGGAACAUCAGUGGCGAAGGCGACUCACUGGGCCAUUACUGACACUGAUGUGCGAAAGCGUGGGUAGCAAACAGGAUUAGAUACCCUGGUAGUCCACGCCCUAAACGAUGUCAACUACGUGUAUGGGAGUUUAACUCUUGUGUAUCGAAGCUAACGCGAUAAGUUGACGCUGGGAGUACGGCGCAAGCUAAACUCAAUGAAUGACGGGGCCCGCCCAAGCGGUGGAGCAUGUGAUUAUCGAUGCACGUCGAAGACCUACCAGGUCUUGAACUGUACGGAGCUGAAGGAUAGCUUGGCUUCGAACGUAACUCAGGUGCUCUGCAUGCUGUUUCCUCACGACUUC